rnacentral:tRNA from 2 species
GCCGGGGUGGUGAAAUUGGCAAACACGCAGGACUUAAAAUCCUGUGGCCCAAAAGGUCUUGUGGGUUCGAGUCCCACCCCCGGCACCA